rnacentral:rRNA from 1 species
UACGUAGGGGGCGAGCGUUGUCCGGAUUUACUGGGCGUAAAGAGCGCGUAGGCGGCUCGUUAAGUUGGCUGUGAAAUCUCCUGGCCCAACUGGGAGCGGUCAGCCGAGACUGGCGGGCUUGAGGGCGGUAGAGGAAGGUGGAAUUCCGGGUGUAGUGGUGAAAUGCGUAGAGAUCCGGAGGAACACCAGUGGCGAAGGCGGCCUUCUGGGCCGCACCUGACGCUGAGGCGCGAAAGCGUGGGGAGCGAAC